UGGUGGACCAGAGAAAGACAUGAGCAGGAGUGUGUAGGUGAUUGUGCCCUAGAUAUGUGGAAAGGCACUGGUGUGGGGACAGGAAGGUGUGGGGGCUGGAGGCACGGAGUGAGGAUGUUCAACAGCAUGAAGUGUAGAGAAUCAACAGCCUUCACAUCCAGACUUCACGAAAUUUAAGGAAUGAUCUUGUCUGGUCACAUUCCAGAAGCAGGAGGAAAAAAAAAUAGCAUUUCUGAAGCCAAUGAGUGCCAGUCACUUGAAGAUGGUAAUCUGAACAGGAAGAGCACUGUGACUUACUACUGUCCUUCAGAGAAAAAGGAAGAGGUGCACGUCACAGACGGGAAGUCAGUGAACCAGAGGCAAAGUGAAGUUUAUAGCAUGAACGACUUGUUUUUUUGGUACAAUCCUGUACAUUAAUUGUUACCAGCACGUAUCUCGGAGCUCCUGUCCACACAAUAGUCAUUACUAACACCUGAGUUGAUCUGCACAAGGGCACGGAUUACACGGAAAAAGACAAGUGUUCCCACAUUUUCUAUUACCUGGAGAAGAUUCUUCCUUAAAUGUUAGAAGAAUUGAAUGACAAAAGAUCUCACCAUUUCAAAGUCAAUGGACUGCCUGGAUUACUCUCGGCUCAUUCUAUUCAUGUUGAUUCUGGUGGAAUCCACUUUUCCUAUAUUUUGAGGGAAGGUGGGUUGACGUGAGAAUCUCUCAACCAACUCCAAACUCUGAAAAACUUUCAUUCAGCUGGAAUGACAGCGGAUCUUCUAUUACGUUGCCUGGUGACCUGAGAGAACACCAAGUACUUAACAACCAUAAUUCUCAACAAGAACAUCCGUCAACAUUUUCCUUCAUCUACUUCUUGCUCUUUGCAUGGGAGGCCUUCCCCUGUAAGGCAACCUAAUGCACUGAUAUCUCCCCUGCCUUCAUCUUUCUGCCUACUUCUCCUCUGAGAGUCCCUGUUUGGGUGUAGGGAGAAAGAAAGGAACUGAGAGAAGAGACAGCAUAUUACCAGAUAGCUAGAAGAGAGGCUUUUGAAUGUUCUCACGAAAAAAGGAAUGAUAAAUGCAUGAGAUGAUGAACGUACUAAGUACCCUAAUUUGAUCAUUAUACAUAAUAUAUAUGUAUCAAAACAUCAAGUUGUACUUCAUAAAUGUGCAUAAUUACAAUGUGUCCAUUUAAAAAAAUAAUUAAUUGUUUUUAAAAAAGAGAAAUAAAAUGUUUCCCG
rnacentral:lncRNA from 1 species